UACCGUGAGGGAAAGGUGAAAAGCACUUUGGAAAGAGAGUUAAAAGACCUGAAAUAGUUGG
rnacentral:rRNA from 1 species